AAACCAGCACCCCAAGUGAUCAGGAGGAUUAUUGGGCCUAAAGCAUCCGUAGCCUGUUCUGUAAGUUUUCGGUUAAAUCCAUUAGCUCAACUAAUGGGCCGCCGAAAAUACUGUAGAACUAGGGAGUGGGAGAGGUAGACGGUAUUCGGUAGGAAGGGGUAAAAUCCUUUGAUCUCUUGAUGACCACCUGUGGCGAAGGCGGUCUACCAGAACAUGUCCGACGGUGAGGGAUGAAAGCUGGGGGAGCAAACCGGAUUAGAAACCCCAGUAGUCC
rnacentral:rRNA from 1 species